AUGCUUUCUGUAGGGGGGAACCUCCCAGGGAGGGUGCUUGGAGGCAGGGACGUGCCUGCUCCCCUGGGGAAGGCCAGCACAGCAGGUUUCUCCGGGUGGGGACAACUCUUCCCACAUCAAACCAUGCGUCAUCCUGACCCCAGCCCUGCUCUCCACGCAGGCAGGACCCUUCCCCUUCCCUCCCCACCUGCCCACCAAACCAUGCACGUUUCCAGGCUCCUGCCCGGUUUUCCCAGCGAGGUGGAAAGAAACAAACAGCACCCAGAGACGCCCUGGCAUCCUCCAGGUGCCCACGGUGGCCACCAGAGCUUCGCCAGCAGCAGCCAGCCCCCCUUGGCCCUCUCUCUUUCCCCCCGUGAGGGCGU